GAUGAACUCUAGCUACAGGCUUAACACAUGCAAGUCGAGGGGCAGCAUGGUCUUAUCUUGCUAAGGCCGAUGGCGACCGGCGCACGGGUGAGUAACACGUAUCCAACCUGCCGUCUACUCUUGGACAGCCUUCUGAAAGGAAGAUUAAUACAAGAUGGCAUCAUGAGUCCGCAUGUUCACAUGAUUAAAGGUAUUCCGGUAGACGAUGGGGAUGCGUUCCAUUAGAUAGUGGGCGGGGUAACGGCCCACCUAGUCUUCGAUGGAUAGGGGUUCUGAGAGGAAGGUCCCCCACAUUGGAACUGAGACACGGUCCAAACUCCUACGGGAGGCAGCAGUGAGGAAUAUUGGUCAAUGGGCGAGAGCCUGAACCAGCCAAGUAGCGUGAAGGAUGACUGCCCUAUGGGUUGUAAACUUCUUUUAUAAAGGAAUAAAGUCGGGUAUGGAUACCCGUUUGCAUGUACUUUAUGAAUAAGGAUCGGCUAACUCCGUGCCAGCAGCCGCGGUAAUACGGAGGAUUCGAGCGUUAUCCGGAUUUAUUGGGUUUAAAGGGAGCGUAGAUGGAUGUUUAAGUCAGUUGUGAAAGUUUGCGGCUCAUCCGUAAAAUUGCAGUUGAUACUGGAUAUCUUGAGUGCAGUUGAGGCAGGCGGAAUUCGUGGUGUAGCGGUGAAAUGCUUAGAUAUCACGAAGAACUCCGAUUGCGAAGGCAGCCUGCUAAGCUGCAACUGACAUUGAGGCUCGAAAGUGUGGGUAUCAAACAGGAUUAGAUACCCUGGUAGUCCACACGGUAAACGA
rnacentral:rRNA from 1 species